AUGAGGCUGGAUGGGAAGGGCCCCACGGUGGGUAAGAGGUGCGAUGGCCUCGAGGCAUCAGAAGAGCGGAGAUUCUGCAGACAAAAGGUUUGCCAGUUCCUCUCCAAGACCUUUCUGAAGCCCCAGCUCCAUCCUGGGCCCCAGGCGCCACUCAGCAAGGGCACCCACACCCAGGUUCCCCUGAAGGAGCCUCACCCAUCUGCAGAAGUUCCAUCAGGGCCUCCAGACCCCCGAUUUCCACCACCCGCAGCUGCUCCACAUAGAAGCCCCGGGUCUUGUUCCAGCGAACCGCGAGGGGCCGGGGAGACCCCACGCUCAGCAAGUCCCGAACCUGGGGGAGGAGGCGGAGGGAAGGGCUGCUCUGAAUCCGGGCUCCCUCUGGCUCCAGCCCUUCCGGACAAGUCUCCACCUCCCCUUCUGCCCUCGACCCUGCCCCGCUUCCUCAGGGGCUGCCCUCCUCCUCCUCCACUCCUCACCUGCUCAUUGUAGAUCUCCAGGUAGGAGGCGCGCAGGGUGACGGGGGCACCCAGGUGCUGCGCGCGGUCCAACAGCCAGGCGAAGGUCCUCUGCAUGAUGCCAGCCAGGCUGGGGGGUACUGGCGCCCCCUCCCCCUGGGGGCAAAGCUAGCUGAGCCUGCGGCUGGGUGGGCCGCUGCAGCAGCGCGGCGAUAAACUAUCCUCUUUUUAGGGCACUUAUGGCCCGCCAGGAACCGUGCCAGGGGCCGCGCUCAUAGCUCAUUUAUUCCUCACUGUCCGCACAAUCAUUUCCAUUUACAGAGGAAAAAUCUAAGAGCUAGCAAGGGGCCAAACCGGCCAAGUCCCUUUCCUCUGGCCCUCAGCUUCCUGGCCUGAAAAUGAAUGGAGCCCAUCCCUCUCGGGGACCCGGGGAAGGGGUGCGGGCGGCCGGCGCACCUGGGGAGGAGGUCCAGUCAGCGUGUAGGUCUUCCCCGAGCCGGUCUGCCCGAAAGUGAAGACGGUGCAGGAGAAGCUAGGGCGGCAGGGGCGCGGUGGGACCACGGCGGAGGCCCGGGCUGGGGGCGACAUGGGCGAAGCCCACCCCACUCACCCGCGCAGAGCCAGCUCGCCCAGACGCCGCACGCCGCACGCCCGGAACACGUCCUCCUGCGUGCGCGCCCCGUCCAGCACUGCGCCGAAGCGGAACGCCACGUCGGGGCCGCCGCCCGGGGGGCUCACCUUGGGGGGGGGAGGCACCUGACGGCCGGGCAGCGCGGGGUGGGGCUAAGGGAAAAAUGCCCUGCGGUCCGGGCCUCCCAGGGUUAGGUUUUGGGGGGGCUGCGGGUUCCUCACCUGCAGUGUCUGGGUCCCCGAGCAGUGCAGCGCGCUCUGUUCCCCUCGACGCAGCUCGGCCGUGCUCAUGGGCCGCACCCUGGGAUCCAAGCGAAGGCCAGAUGAUCCCUCCCGGUGUCUCCAUCGGUCCCGUCCUCGCCCGAGGUCCUCCUAGCCACCUUAUACCCACCUGAGCACCACUUGGAUGGGCGUUUCCUGCCCCUGUGGCCCUUGCUCCAGGCUCCGAGCGGGGUCCCUGUAGUAGCAACACGAGUCACCGUCCCUGCAGUACCCGCCUCCCUGCCCAGCUGUCCACUGGGAGAGUCGUUCAGGGCUCCCCAACAUCCCUGAAGCUCGGCUUACCCAUCGGGAGACCCGCGUUCCUCCAUGUCCUGCUCUGAGCACGGCCUUAGCUCCUCCCGCCUCCUUCCUUUUCCUCCCCGAUGCCCUCCCUUCUCCAGCACCGCGGGACCGGCCACAGGUCCCAGGCAGCCAUCCAUCCGGAAAAGCUCCCGCCUGCCCUUGGCUGGUUAGUUAAAGAUUUACCCCCAUACCCACCCUGCGGUCCUGAAAAUCUCAAGCUAGGGCCCCCUAGCUAGGGGGUUCUGGAAUCUGAGGCUCCCUUGCUCUUGGCCAGACCUUCAGUCAGUAGGGGACCUACGCGACCACCGAGACCAGCCUUGUCGGAAACAAAGGCGGACAGGAAGCCAGGUCACAGAGCCAGCCAGAGCAGGGCAGGGAGCAGGCUCUCCCUACUCCCUCCACACACUCUCCCUGCCCUCCCAGCACCUCCAGUGCGGUCCCCGCUCAGGGCCCAGCGGGGGGGGGGGGCUCCAGGGAACUCCUGGUUGCCUGAGAGCAGGUUGCCAGCAUCUGGUUAGGCACUGAGGCCCCUGCCUCUGCCACUCCACAUCUAAUCCCAGGCGGCGCGGUUGGUUAUUUAUCUCCCUGGUGUGGCUUCUGACAGCAGCAGAGAGGCCCCGGGAGGUGCUGGGUCUCCAGGCUGGGAAUCUGUGCAGGCCCACUCCCAGUUCCCAGGCUGGCUGAGGAGGCAGGGACCAUCAAUCCGGUGGGCGGGGGCCUCAGGCAGAGGGGGCAGAAGACACACACUUCCAGAAGGUGGGGUGGCGAGCAGAGAGGUGGUCUGAGGCUGGACCCAGCUCACUGGAGGACGCUCCAAGGAGUCCAGCCUCACCCCUUAGGGAACCCAGAAACCGUUGAGAGUUGUAAACAGGAAAGUGACACCAUCGGACUGACAUUAUAUUUAUAAUUAUUAUUCCCCACCUACUUUCUCUCACUUUAAGGUGACAAACGCUAAAAGUCACCCCCACCCCAAUGUUACACUGUACCACCACAGACAGGCGCCGGCUACCAAAGCCACCCUUCCUAGGAAUGAACUGUCUUGGGUCGCAGUGAGCUGCCCGUAAACUGGAGGUGUGCAAGCAAAGCCCAUGGAUUUUUUAGCCACAGGACCUUCUGGCUGCAUCUACAGGGAGGGUUUUGUAGAGCAAAGAAUGAUCCUAUAGAGAAAUGUAAAGCUACAGGAAGAAAUAAAGAGCACUAGCAAGAAGGAAUAUAAAAUCAUUGUGGUUGCUUGGAAGAAAUACUAAUGAUUUGCUAUCAUUCUUAUAUAGAGAGAAAUAAUUAUACAUGGUAUUAGUAUAAAGGCUAGGAGGGGUGAGUGAAGAUAACCUGUGGAAUUGUGGAAUUGGCUCCUCACUUGUUUGGGUCAUGAUAAAAGCAAUUUAAGGUAGACUGUAAUAAGUCAGGGAUGCGUAGAGAAAUCUUUUAAGGUAAUUACAUUAAAAAUAAAAGUUAAAAUUAAAAAGUCGAUAGUAGAGAAGAAUGAAUUAAAACUACUUGAUUGAUUCAAAAGAGGACCAAAAAAGAAGAAACAGAAUCACAAAGAACAAAUGGAACAAGCAGAAAAUAAAUAAGAAGGUACAAUUAAGUGCAUUUAUAUCAGCAAAUACAGCUGGCCCUCUGUAUACUCCACUUAGCAAGCAGCAGAUCCAACCAAGCAUGAAUGGAAAAUAUUUUUUUAAAAUGCAUCUGCACUGAACAUGUACAGAUAUUUCCUAAAAAACACAGUAUAGCAACCAUUUAAUAGCAUUAUCUUGUAUCAGGUAUUUUAAGUUAUCUAGAGAUGAAGUAUGUGCAAGGAUUGCACAGGUUAUAUGCAAAUACAAAACCAUUUUAUGUAAGAGAUUUGAGCAUAGUGGAUUUUUAGUAUCCUCAGGUAUCCUGGAACCAAUUCCCCAUAACUUCUAAAGGACAGCUGUAUACUGAUAGCAGUACAUAGGCUAAACACUCCAAAUAAAAAAGACAAAGAUUUUCACACUGGAUACAAAAAUUAGAAUGUAUCUUUGUUUAAUAAUGUAAAAAGAAGCACCUAUUUGGAAAGCUGAAGCAGGAGGAUCACAAGAUUGAAACCAGCCUGAGCCACUCAGUGAGACCUUGUCUCUAAAUAAAAUAUAAAAAGGACUGGGGGACCUGGGAUGUGGCUCAGCAGCACAGUGCCUGCCUGGCAAGUGUGAGGUCGAGUUUGAUUCCCAGUACCAAAAAGAAAAAAGAACCGGGGUGUAGCUGAGUGAUAGAGUGCCCUUGAGUUCAGUCCCCACAUUCAAUCCCCAGUACUGCAAAGAAAAAAUUUUUUAAAG
rnacentral:lncRNA from 1 species